rnacentral:rRNA from 1 species
CAGCAGCCGCGGGAAUACGAAGGGUGCAAGCGUUACUCAGAAUUACUGGGCGUAAAGCGUGCGUAGGUGGUGGUUUAAGUCCGUUGUGAAAGCCCUGGGCUCAACCUGGGAAUUGCAGUGGAUACUGGAUCACUAGAGUGUGGUAGAGGAUAGUGGAAUUUCCGGUGUAGCAGUGAAAUGCGUAGAGAUCGGAAGGAACAUCUGUGGCGAGGGCGACUAUCUGGGCCAACACUGACACUGAGGCACGAAAGCGUGGGGAGCAAACAGGAUUAGAUACCCCGGUAGUCCCUGUCUCUUAUAC